CUUAAGCGAAUGUGCAGGCUUCUUCAGCGAUCAACCCUGCCUUUAACCAAGCCCCAUUGCUCUUUGUAGUUGCCGACCAGUAUCUGCACUACUGGGAACUGGGCCGUGUCAGUUCUCUGCCUCAUGCUAGACUCAAGGAAACGGAGCGUAGAGCUCAGUCAGUAGUCUGCGUUCUUACAAGGCCAAGAGCAAAUGGAGCAGUCUGGGACUUCCACUUAGGAAGGGCGGCUAACAGCCGGCCUCCCAUGGGUUCUGUGGCAGUUAGUGAGGGGUCGGAAUUCUCAUUGCUUGGCUCACAUGUUGGCUGGUGCUCCUGAUCCCUCUGAGCCCUUCUUAGGAAGAGUCACAGUGAUUUUGGGAGGUUCAUCCUACCAUCAUGGAGGCCCUCACAUCUGCUCACAGGUCUCCUUGAGGCCAGUGAGCACAUCAGCCUCUUGAGUUUACUAUUAUCUCCUGGGUUCCACAGGACUGUGCCUUCUUCAGCAAAUGGAUGAGAUGGAGUGACAUCAUGCAGACCUGUGGCUGAAUCUUACCUGUUUCUGUCAGAGUCAGAGGACCACAGCACUACUCACACAAAGGCUGUAGUGAUCAGAGAGAACAUGUACCAUAGUACUGGAAGAGCUCCCGGCAUACAAUACCUGCUCUAUUCUCCAGUCUCUGCUCUCUUUCCACAACAGCUUUCUGUGUUGCUAUCAGUUCUUCUAUUUCUCUUGGACAAUGGCAUUUCUCCUUUCCCUGUGUAAUGCCUUCUUCCUCCUGUAUCAGCUUUCUCUAGCCUCACCACUUUCUACCUUUGUAUGGUUCCCUUUGAAACAUCACUCAAGAAAUGUAAGUCUAGGGUAAGCAGUGCUGGCUGGCAUAUGCCUUUAAUUUCAGCAUUCAGGAGGCAGAAGCAGCCAGAUCUCUGAGUCCAAGCCUAUCCUGAACUACAGAGUGAGCUCCAGGGCAGCCAAGGCUACACAGAGAAAACCUGCCUCAAAAAACUAAAACAACAAAAAAAGGAACAGAGUCUAGGGCUAGAGAGAUGGCUCAGCAGUUAAGAACACUUGCUGCUCUUGUACGGACCCAGGUUCAAUUCCUAGCACCCACAUGGUGACUCACAACCACUUGCAAUUCCAGUUCUAGGAGAUCUGAUGCCCUAGUCUGGCCUCCAUGGGCUGUUGUACUGUGGUACACAUAAGCUUGUGCAUAAAUACAUACAUAUAAAAAUAAAUACAUGAAUAAAUGUCUAGAUUCAAGCAGAGAACCUAGGUCACUCAAUCCUGUUUCAAAUAAGUCAAAUGGAUUUGUUUCUUGUCUUUUUCUUCUUGUUGAGACAAGAUUUCCUGGAUAAGGGUGACAAAACCAAACCAGAGGUUGAACAAUUUUGCUUUAUCAUGCAUCCACAUUACCUCAUCUGCCUCACGAAUUGUGACUACACUUUCCUUUUUGAUUCUAAAUAUAAAGGGUCCUUUCAGUUGCCCUUAUUUUUAGCAAAGCCCAGCUCAUCCUAAGCUUUGAUCUUCCUGACACCUCUCAUACAAAUCUGUGCCAUAAUUCUAUAUGUUUUUCAUUGAGUGCCCCUUUCUCUAAGUGAAAAUCUGGG
ensembl:lncRNA